GGUGGGUUGGCUCAGUGGGUAGAGCUAAGGGCUCGCGACAGGGAGGUCCGGGUUCGAAUCCCGCAAGAGGCG
rnacentral:tRNA from 1 species